rnacentral:lncRNA from 1 species
GAAAACAUGCCUAGGGAGUAUGCCAGCUGUAUUAGUCUUCCAUCUGGAGUCCUUUGAACACAUAACAAAGUACCUGUGGCUUGGUGUUUGUUUGCAGGGGCACCCCAUGCAGAGAUGGGCAUCCUAACCCAUCUCUGGGAUUUUAUCAAGCACUUCCAAGGCUAAGUACUGAAUGGAGGAGAAGACCAGAACUGCCCCCAUAGCAAGGGGGAAGUCCAAGAGAACAUGAGUUUGGCCUGUCUUCCAAACAGACUUGCAUGAAGACAGAGUUCUGGGCACUAAGAAACUGAGGCUUGGCUGGAAAGAAAUGGG